AUGAAAUAUGAAGUUUUAUUAAAAGAAAAAUGGGUGAAAAGAACAAAGUUUUGUCCAUCUUUGUUCAUCAUAGCUGAAAGUUAGAGAAGAGAAAGGAGAAGAGAAAGCUCUUGAGUAUUCGGUCAUUAGGAGGAGGAAAAUUGAAGGUAAUCCCCAACCAUAGUGGGCUUGGAGCUAUGAGGGAAUUCGAAGUGGCCACCCGUUCUGAAAGUUUGAUUUUCUUCUGCUCAAGACCCAAAGAACCGAGAUUUGGAUCGGGAAAGGCGAAGUUAGCCGAGUAGUCAACACUAUUGUACGAAGUUGUCGAGAUAUUGAACCCAACUUGCGAGUUUGAAAGUCGUCAGAGGAGCUUAACACACUAUCGACCACCUUUGGUAUUUAUAAAAGUUACGUUUUGAACCUAUGGCAUGUAUAGGCUAGAGUGUGUCAUGAAUUGUGGUAAUUCGGUUUGUAUAAUUGGGCCAUGCGAUAAAAUGGCUUACUAUUCAGUUGUGUUAGAUUUUACGUCUUGAUUAAGUGAUGUUGUAUGAUGUAUUUGUAUGUGGUUUGAUGGUUAGGCUAUGAAUUAUAAAUAGAAAUGAAUUAUGCUUAA